rnacentral:rRNA from 1 species
GGACCCGCACAAGUAGUGGAGCAUGUGGUUUAAUUCGAAGAUACGCGCAGAACCUUACCAACACUUGACAUGUUCGUCGCGACUUUAAGAGAUUAAAGUUUUCGGUUCGGCCGGACGAAACACAGGUGCUGCAUGGCUGUCGUCAGCUCGUGUCGUGAGAUGUUGGUUAAGUCCCGCAACGAGCGCAACCCUCACUUUUAGUUGCCAUCAUUUAGUUGGGCACUCUGAAAGAACUGCCAGUGAUAAGCGGGAGGAAGGUGUGGAUGACGUCAAGUCCUCAUGGCCCUUACGGGUUGGGCUACACACGUGCUACAAUGGUAGUGACAAUGGGUUAAUCCCAAAAAGCUAUCUCAG